rnacentral:rRNA from 1 species
UACGGAGGGUGCAAGCGUUGUUCGGAUUUACUGGGCGUAAAGGGCGCGUAGGCGGCAAUUCAAGUCAUCUGUGAAAUCUCCGGGCUUAACUCGGAACGGUCAGAUGAUACUGCUUUGCUAGAGUGCAGAAGGGGCAAUCGGAAUUCUUGGUGUAGCGGUGAAAUGCGUAGAUAUCAAGAGGAACACCUGAGGUGAAGACGGGUUGCUGGGCUGACACUGACGCUGAGGCGCGAAAGCCAGGGGAGCAAACGGG